rnacentral:rRNA from 1 species
CGCGAAUGGCUCAUUACAACAGCUAUAAUUUACUAGACCUUGAGCAAUUACACGGAUACCUGUGGUAAUUCUAGAGCUAAUACGUGCACGGAAGUCUUCCUCACGGAGCAAUGCAUUUAUUUGAGCAAACCCAGGCGGCUUCGGCCGUUUCUGUUGAUUCAGAAUAAUUAAGCUGAUCGCAUGGGCUUGUCCCGGCGACGUGUCUUUCAAGUUUCUGCCUUAUCAACUUUCGAUGGUAGUGUUCGUGACUACCAUGGUGUUGACGGGUAACGGAGGAUAAGGGUUGGACUCCGGAGAAGGGGCCUGAGAAAUGGCCACUACGUCUAAGGAUGGCAGCAGGCGCGCAAAUUACCCACUCUCAGUUCGAGGAGGUAGUGACGAAAAAUAACAAGGCCGUUCUCUUUGAGGCCGGCCAUUGGAAUGGGCACAACUUAAACCCUUUAACGAGUAUCAAUGAGAGGGCAAGUCUGGUGCCAGCAGCCGCGGUAAUUCCAGCU